CGCAGCGGGACAGACGGUCGCCGGUGGGUUCGUCCCACGGGAGGAAAGUCCGAGCUCCGCAGGGCAGGGUGCCGGGUAACGCCCGGUGAGGGUGACCUCGAGGAAAGUGCAACAGAGAAGAGACCGCCCGCCCGUCUCGCAAGAGACCGUCGGGUAAGGGUGAAACGGCGGGGUAAGAGCCCACCGCGCCCUCGGUGACGAGGGUGGCAAGGCAAACCCCACCCGGAGCAAGGCCGCGUAAGGAGGCGAUGCGGCGGACCGCAAGGGACGCCGUGAAAGGGCUGCCCGCCCGAGCCUCCGGGUUGGCUGCUGGAGGCGUACGGCAACGUGCGUCCUAGAGGAAUGAUCGUCGGCGCGGGAGUCGGGCGACCGCAUCGCGCAACAGAACUCGGCUUACGUCCCCUGCGACCA
rnacentral:RNase_P_RNA from 2 species